AUUGACAAUCAACCAUUAUUGAAUUGAUUUGAAUUAUAAUUAAUAGAAAACAAGUACAUAAAUCCUAGUAAUGAAGGCAGAAAAACAAAAACGUGAUUAAUAGAAUACAAGAAGCAUUUUGCAGCUUUUGUUUGGGUAGAAUAAACCAGCAUUAAGCUUAAUUUCCACCUUCUUUUUAAUUACUAAUACUAUAACAUUGCCAUAUAUGCUUACUAGCAUGCCACUGAUCGUAUGGAUAAUUUGCAUGGUUAGCACCAUGUACCAUGCACAUUUUGACACUAAAAUCCUCCUCCAAUUCCUCCACCAGCACCACCACCGAAUCCACCACCUCCACCUACACCUCCACCCGCACCACCUCCAAUUCCUCCUCCAACUCCACCACCUGCACCACCCCCACCACCAAGCCCUCCUCCAAGACCGCCACCUGCUCCAGCACCACCACCAGCUCCACCUCCUAAACCGGCACCCCCGCCAAGCCCUCCUCCAGCACCCC
rnacentral:lncRNA from 1 species